UGCUAUUGAUUUUUACACGUACAUUGGGGGUGUAGAUUAUUGAUUUUUACAGGUGCAUUAACGCUGUAGAUUAUUGAGUUUUACAGGUGCAUUAACGACGUAGAUUAUUGAGUUUUACAGGUGCAUUGGUGACAUAGAUUAUUGAUUUUUACAGGUGUAUUAACGCUGUAGAUUAUUGAUUUUUACAGGUGUAUUAGCAACGUAGAUUAUUGAUUUUUACAGGUGCAUUGGUGAUGUAGAUUAUUGAUUUUUACAGGUGCAUUAACGACGUAGAUUAUUGAUUUUUACAGGUGCAUUGGUGACAUAGAUUAUUGAUUUUUACAGGUGCAUUAACGCUGUAGAUUAUUGAUUUUUACAGGUGUAUUAACGACGUAGAUUAUUGAUUUUUACAGGUGCAUUGGUGAUGUAGAUUAUUGAUUUUUACAGGUGCAUUAACGCUGUAGAUUAUUGAGUUUUACAGGUGCAUUAACGACGUAGAUUAUUGAGUUUUACAGGUGCAUUGGUGACAUAGAUUAUUGAUUUUUACAGGUGUAUUAACGCUGUAGAUUAUUGAUUUUUACAGGUGUAUUAGCGACGUAGAUUAUUGAUUUUUACAGGUGCAUUGGUGAUGUAGAUUAUUGAUUUUUACAGGUGCAUUAACGACGUAGAUUAUUGAUUUUUACAGGUGCAUAGGUGACAUAGAUUAUUGAUUUUUACAGGUGCAUUAACGCUGUAGAUUAUUGAUUUUUACAGGUGUAUUAACGACGUAGAUUAUUGAUUUUUACAGGUGCAUUGGUGAUGUAGAUUAUUGAUUUUUACAGGUGCAUUAACGCUGUAGAUUAUUGAUUUUUACAGGUGCAUUAACGACGUAGAUUAUUGAUUUUUACAGGUGCAUUGGUGAUGUAGAUUAUUGAUUUU